GAGGACUUGAGGCCAUGUGCCACCUCAAGCCAGAGCGACAUUAGUCCAAGUGGCAGCCAGGAAGAAGCUGGCCAAGACAGAGCAUCAGAAUCAGACCAAGAGCUGCCAUCCCUGCUUGAUGAGCCUGUGGCUUCUGAGAUGCCUGCUGGAUACAUUAAAGAUCUUCAAGCAGUGGAGAUGAGGAUAAUGGUGGAACUGGAGAUGAUCCGUACAGAGUUCAGUACUGCUCUGAACCAAGUUAUGGAGGCCAUAGAGCAGGGGUCCCCAAACUUUUUCCUGUGAGGGCCACAUAACUUUUCCCUUCUCUGAUGGGGGGCCGGUGUCAGUUUGUAACAGAAAAAGUGUGACGAUCGUAGGGGAGCUUAAAAAAUUUAUUGUUUUCCAGAAAGCCACACAUAACCAAAUAACCCUUUCCAGGUUCUUUACA